rnacentral:rRNA from 1 species
UACGAAGGGGCUAGCGUUGCUCGGAAUCACUGGGCGUAAAGGGUGUGUAGGCGGGUCUUUAAGUCAGGGGUGAAAUCCUGGAGCUCAACUCCAGAACUGCCUUUGAUACUGAAGAUCUUGAGUUCGGGAGAGGUGAGUGGAACUGCGAGUGUAGAGGUGAAAUUCGUAGAUAUUCGCAAGAACACCAGUGGCGAAGGCGGCUCACUGGCCCGAUACUGACGCUGAGGCACGAAAGCGUGGGGAGCAAACAGG